rnacentral:tRNA from 1 species
AAGAUUUUAGUUAAUGUAAAUAAUAAUAACUUGUCGGGUUAUAGUAAUUGAAAAAUAAAUCUUA